GACGAACGCUGGCGGCGUGCUUAACACAUGCAAGUCGAACGGAAAGGCCCUGCUUUUGUGGGGUGCUCGAGUGGCGAACGGGUGAGUAACACGUGAGUAACCUGCCCUUGACUUUGGGAUAACUUCAGGAAACUGGGGCUAAUACCGGAUAGGAGCUCCUGCUGCAUGGUGGGGGUUGGAAAGUUUCGGCGGUUGGGGAUGGACUCGCGGCUUAUCAGCUUGUUGGUGGGGUAGUGGCUUACCAAGGCUUUGACGGGUAGCCGGCCUGAGAGGGUGACCGGCCACAGUGGGACUGAGAUACGGCCCAGACUCCUACGGGAGGCAGCAGUGGGGAAUAUGGCACAAUGGGCGGAAGCCUGAUGCAGCAACGCCGCGUGCGGGAUGACGGCUUUCGGGGUGUAAACCGCUUUCGCCGGUGACGAAGCGUGAGUGACGGUAAUGGGUAAAGAAGCACCGGCUAACUACGUG
rnacentral:rRNA from 1 species